CGGACAACCCCUGGCUCCUGGCUGUGUGGCGCUCUAGGGCCGGCCGCAGCUCUGCGCACAGCUCCAGUAAUACUGGCCUGGGGAAACGAAAUCGGCUCAUGAGCCAAUCGUCAUCAUUUGCGAUUUCCCAGCGUCACCUCUAAGUGUCGCCAAAGGAACAAUAGCUGUAGAAACGUGCGUACGACAGCUCUGGAGCUGGCGUGGGGACCGCACAUUUUUACGGUCAUUUCACGUUUUGUACAUCUGAACGUGAGCGUGGAAAAGGACGUACGCCACGUUUUUGUGCGUACGCAACCUUAGUACAUGAGGCCCCAGGUCUUUAAAUUGACAAAAAGGAAGUACGUAGAUGCAACAUGAUCAAUUCAUAUUCUUCUUGUGGACGUGCUAUAGUCAUGUCAACUUUGAUUGUUUAUGGAGAAUGUUAGAUGUACUAAUGUCUCUCACGUUGAUUGAAUCAAAACACUCAUGUCGAUGUGAUUGAGUUUGGUGCUUUUCUGGCGCCAAAGUGUAAUUUGCAUUACGAGCAGAGGGUGGCAGUAGUGCGCCCAUAGGCUGGAUUCAAAUUGUGCUGAAGAAAAAAAGAGACGAAGGAGUGCAUUUGACCCCGAAAAUUCUGGAAGCAAUCACAUUUCCCCCUUCAGCCACAACGGAGACCAGCCCAUUUACUGAUAAAGGUUUGGUGGCAGUAAUGUGGAGUUGUAAAAGCGGCAAAGAAACUGUAUCAAUUCAACGCUGAGUUCAAGAGAAUCACCACCGUCCCACUUCAAUCCAGGUUCCUUUCUCAGCUGGACGUUCACUCUGACAAACUGACGAGGCUGUUCCAAAGGAGAGGAGGACAUCUAGGGCAAAAGCUAAAAAAAAAACGUUGCAAAAAUGGCAGAUGUAAGUUAUACGGAAGUCCAACUUCAUAAAAAAAGAAUUGACUGUUUUCGGAAAAUAUUAUGAUUUUUUUUUUUUGGAAUUGUUGAGACGUUAUGCAACACAAUAUAAUUUUUUAGUUGCCACAUAAUUGAUUGGCAAGGAGGGUACAUGAAUUGUACACAAAGCCAGGGAGACGAUAAGUGCAUUUAUUUUUCAUCUUCCCCUUCCACUAUUUGUACAUCUAUUUUGUCUCACAGCAAGGCUCUUAAUCAUAUGAA